GAUGAACGCUGGCGGCGUGCCUAAUACAUGCAAGUCGAGCGAACAGACGAGGAGCUUGCUCCUCUGACGUUAGCGGCGGACGGGUGAGUAACACGUGGAUAACCUACCUAUAAGACUGGGAUAACUUCGGGAAACCGGAGCUAAUACCGGAUAACAUGUUGAACCGCAUGGUUCAACAGUGAAAGACGGUCUUGCUGUCACUUAUAGAUGGAUCCGCGCCGCAUUAGCUAGUUGGUAAGGUAACGGCUUACCAAGGCAACGAUGCGUAGCCGACCUGAGAGGGUGAUCGGCCACACUGGAACUGAGACACGGUCCAGACUCCUACGGUAGGCAGCAGUAGGGAAUCUUCCGCAAUGGGCGAAAGCCUGACGGAGCAACGCCGCGUGAGUGAAGAAGGUCUUCGGAUCGUAAAACUCUGUUAUUAGGGAAGAACAAAUGUGUAAGUAACUAUGCACGUCUUGACGGUACCUAAUCAGAAAGCCACGGCUAACUACGUG
rnacentral:rRNA from 1 species